rnacentral:lncRNA from 1 species
AAAACUCGCAUACACCUUGUUCCUUAGCCUCGUAUAAAUACAGCUGAUAUUUAAAGACACUAAACAGUUAUUGUAUAUGUCAUAUACAGUCACUGACCUGAUAUCACUUUUCCUCAUGAAUAUCUAAAUAGAAAUUGCCGAAAUUAUGAUUAAUUAUUCAUACGACCUGUUCAACCUGUUCUUGUUUCCAAUGUAUACAACGAC